rnacentral:tRNA from 1 species
AUGUAGUUCAGUGGUAGAACACUUGCCUAGCAAGCCACAGGUCCUGAGUUCUAUUCCCAGCAU